AAACCACACGAAACCGGCAACAAAACCACGCCUCGUGCCGCGCCCCGGGAGUAGCAACGACUGCGCCGCACCGCACGCGCCCAGAGCCAGGCGGCUGCCCGGCAGCCAAGUCCGCAAAAACUUAGCGCUGCCGGCACGCGCUGGCAAACUCGGCACGGCCGCCGGGCAGCGGGGAAGGAAAAAGACACGCGAGUGUGUAGAAGAGAAACUGCGCGGCUUCGCCCAGGGCAAGGCCUGCCUGCCCCAGCUAGGGACUUCCUAUGACGUGGAGUGACAGUGUCAGGGGACAAGGGAAAACCAACGCACAUCAUCUGUCCGAACCUCUGUUAAGGCUGUGACACCGUCCCCCACACCAUCCUUCUCUCUGAACUGGAAAAAUACAGAUUUGAGGGGUGGACUUGUGUGGUGGAUAAGGAAUUGGUUAGAUGGUCGCUUCCAUACGGCAGCGACCGACAUCUCCCUGUCCAGAUGGAGACCCGAGGCGAGCCGUGUCACUCAGGGGUCCGGACUGGUGCUUUUUAAUACAUUCAUCAAUGACAUAGAGAGAUUGAGCACAUCCUCAGCACAUUUGCAGAUGACACGAAGCUGAGCGGUGCGGUCGACGUGCCAGAAGGAUGGGAUGUUAUCCAAAGAGACCCAGACAAGCUGGAGAGGUGGGCCCGUGCGAGCCUCACGAGGUUCAGAAAGGCCAAGUGCAGGGGACAGCGAUGCCUGGUGCUCUGGGAAAGGAGGCAGCCCUUGGGCUGGAGAUGGCAGGAAGGCACUGGUGCAGCAUCAUGUCUUUAGUAAAAGGAGACCAUUACCCCGAAACCAGACAGAACAGCCGUGCUUGGCCCCAUGCCUGCUGCUGCUGGUUCUCGCAGCAACUGCUGAUCUCUUCCACCUCCCCAAACGACAUCUCCCUUAUCAGCCACCUUGGUGCCUGUGCCAGCCAUAGGCAUUCAUUGCCAUCAUACAGUGAUGUUUAGCAUGUUCAGAUGACAUAAAUUAUUUCCGGAACAUAAACCAGUGGCUUGAUCUUUCUCCCUUGCUACAUUUGUUUUUAGAAGUUGUUUUUCAUUUGUAUUCAGGAGGAAGGAGACGAUUUUGAUCAAAAGCUGUGCUUAUGCAAUCCCAGGAAGGGAUGCGGUUAGAGCUGAUCAUGGAAGGCAUUAACAAAAUCCUCCUCUGACAUUGCCUCCUGUGUCUGAUGGCCAGUGCUCCCUUCAUACCAUGUAUCUGUUUUUAAGCCAUUUGUUUUACUAAAUGUGGAACAGAUCACAGUUGAAUUGAUCUUCUCCUUGGCCCCAGACUUGUGGAGCAGCUCCAUAACUAGCACAUGGAGUGAUAUUCCUGUAAUUUCCAUCAGAUGAAAGUUCUGUCACAACCAUGAAGGCCAUGCUGGUCCCACACAGACAGCAGAAACGACUCUCUGAAGACGUGCUACAGCAGAUCAAAUGCUCGCACCUGUGGCUACCCUGGUGGGCACAGGACCUCUUCAGGACUGAACAGAAAGAUGAGUUCACACCCAAGCCCAGAGGCCCAGCAGAAAUCCGAAAGGCAAACUCCCGAGUGAGCCAUGUCCCGCUGGGGACCCUGAAAGAAUACUGUCCCCAGAGGAAGGUGCUCUUUGCACCAUGAUGUUCUCCCUUCUUCUGCCCAGAACCUGCUGCACUGUGGACUGCCUACAUGUCAUGUUACCUGUUAGCUAUCCUGCUCUCGGUCUGUCUGUGUGUUAUUACAGGGAACAUUUAUUUCAUUAGUCGAACGAGGUGUUGAAGAAGGUGUUGUGACAGCAAGAAUAAACACCGGGAGAUUAGCCCGAAGACGUGGGUGACACACGUCUCUGGAUUGCAAGACCCACUGAGUGCCUCUAGGCAGGCGCUGGGGCAGGAGGAAGCAGGUGGAUAGGGGGAAGCUCAGAGAAAGGGCAAUAGAUCAGAAGCAAAGCACGCUGACAGGACUGUGCGUGGGCUGGAAUAUUCUCUUAUUUUGUGUUUGGAUUUUGGUGUCAAGGCCUGAAACCAAAGGUCAGUGAACAGUAGGGCAGAGAGGUAGCCCUCCCCAGCUUAUGAGUGGGUUGUUUUCCUAGGGGUGAGCCAUGUAUUUUUCUUGAGUUUGUAACUCACGUGGGUUUCCUGAAUGCUGAGCUUGCACUAACUCUGUUUGGGAUGUAAGUAUUUUAAAGAGAGAUCAGUGUGGGCGGGUCAGCCCUCUCCCUUGGGAGGCCGAGUGAGCAGGCUCAGCUGCUGCCUUCUCACAGCCGCUGCUCCACCAGCUCUCCUCAGCCUUUAGAUGCAGACGGGCAUUCACGCAGGGGUUACUAAACCACUCCCCAUUGCCGCAGCUUGUGUGCGAGCAGUGGCCCACGGAAAACCCCCUGUGCUUUCCUCUUGGGGUUUGACUCUGCAUCCCCCAUCUUUGUUCCACACAUGCUUCAAAGAAGCUGCAUACUCAGGUCUUGCAAAUGCACACAGGCACCUCACAUUGGCAUCAUACGCCGGUACAUCGCAAACACCUCGAUUCAAACACCUAAAUGGCAUCACUUGGUGUAGGAACAGGGGCUUGUAUCUGCUACCAGUCUGCCCCAUUACUUUUAUGUGACCCUGAGGUGACAUUGCCACCUGUGCUACCGCAGAAACAGCCACGGUUCACUGGGGAUAAAUGGUGGACGUCACCCUUUUGGUGGAACCAGCUGGCUGGGGAGCUGUUGCUGGGAGGACCCUGUGGUUAUUCACUUUCUUUUUCAUAGGGAUUUUGAUGCAACUUCAGACACAGAA